UAAAGGUUGUUCUUAGAUGCUGGGCCAUACUAGACAGGUAAGAUUUGGAGUAACACUGCAGUUUCCUAAACACCAUAAUGUUCAUAAUGCAUAGGUACAAACCUUCACAACAGGCUAAGACACUAACAGAUUCUGUUUUGUUGUUGUUGUUGUUGUUGUUUGUUUUGUUUUUAAACCUUUGUUAGACACAGCACACAGACUUGUCCCUAUGUUUUGGUCCAUAAUGAUUCUCUUCUUCCAUGUCCUAAAAUUAACUGGUGUUACUUCAUUAGCUAUUCACUCUACAGGAACUAUGAAAUUCCUGACAGACCAAUCUGGUUUUCUCUAAAGCUGAGAAAACUUUGCCACUGAAUAAAGUAAGACCAGAAUAAAGCUGAAUACAUAUGAACUGGGACUCUCCCAUGAAAACCAGAAAACGUGUAUUUCAGGAGGCUGAGCCAAUCUGUGCUUCCUAACUUGCCCUGCUUACACCCGCCCAUGUCUGUGAGCAGUGCCUGGAGAAUGAGGAAGCUCAGCGCCCAAGGGCCAGAUUCUGCCUUUGAUAGCUCCUUCCCAGCCAGGAGAUACCAGAGACUGGCCCAUUGUGCACCGAACUGGCAUAACCAGACCCUGUCCCAUGUGGCGCUGUACAGAUGUGAGGAACAGAAAAAGCAGGACUGCGCUGCCAUGGAUCUACCAGGUGACCAGUAAAAAUUACUGUUGAAGGGCUGGGCUUCUGAGAGAACAUCAGGUCUGGGUCUCCUUGGUCAUCCGCACGCAGAAGGGCGAAGAAGCCAGGCAGGAGAGUGCUGGCCAGACAGGGCAUCACCGUGCCAGCUCUCACAGCAACCCAGCCGGCAGGGACAGCCUCCUGGCUGAGCUUGCGCACAGUAUUUACGUUCUUUUUUCUCCUGCCUUUUGCCUUUAUAUUGCCUCAGAGAUGAUGUGAAGAUAAACAUGUAGCAGAUUGUAAAAUGACUCUUUGAUCACGAGCAGAAUAAAAGGCAGAAACGUCUCUCA